rnacentral:lncRNA from 1 species
ACAAACGAAACCACGCCGGCCUGAGACAGUCAUUCCAAAGAAUACUACUUCAGCGACUAAAUAAAGCAGUGGCUAUACGGAGAAGGGAGUGAGAGAAGGGUGCUGGUGCAACUGUUUUCCGGGUGGUUUUCCGGCUUGGACGUCGGCUGUUGUAAGACGAUGGCGAGGGUGGCUGGUUUGUGUUCGUUGGAUCGCUAGUUUCUGCUCGCGUGGAUGAGUGUUGAAGCUGCUGGGAGAUGAGCUGGGGUGAGCAGUUGCGGCCGUUGUUGUUGUGUAGGUGAAGGGUGGUCAUUUGGCAGUGUAGGGGUGAAGGAGUUAUGGCGGUUUGCGGUUGUUGAGAGUGGCUGGAGAUGAUGGCUGGCGUUCUGCAGGUUCUAAGUGUUUCUCAUGGUUGCUUCUUUGAAGAAGAACCUGCUCUUGCUUCUUCCAAGACCAGGUUCUAGGUAUGUUUGAUUUUAUGUUUUUGAAGAAGAU